rnacentral:rRNA from 1 species
GUGAACGCUGGCGGUAGGCCUAACACAUGCAAGUCGAACGGCAGCACAGUAAGAGCUUGCUCUUACGGGUGGCGAGUGGCGGACGGGUGAGGAAUACAUCGGAAUCUACUUUUUCGUGGGGGAUAACGUAGGGAAACUUACGCUAAUACCGCAUACGACCUACGGGUGAAAGCAGGGGAUCUUCGGACCUUGCGCGAUUGAAUGAGCCGAUGUCGGAUUAGCUAGUUGGCGGGGUAAAGGCCCACCAAGGCGACGAUCCGUAGCUGGUCUGAGAGGAUGAUCAGCCACACUGGAACUGAGACGCGGUCCAGACUCCUACGGGAGGCAGCAGUGGGGAAUGUUGGACAAUGGGCGCAAGCCUGAUCCAGCCAUACCGCGUGGGUGAAGAAGGCCUUCGGGUUGUAAAGCCCUUUUGUUGGGAAAGAAAAGCAGCAGGUUAAUACCCCGCUGUUCUGACGGUACCCAAAGAAUAAGCACCGGCUAACUUCGUG